GAACUCUGGAGUAAGCGUGGAAACACAGACCAUAUUCUCAAGUCUGGUACAAGUUUUGUCAUAUACUGACAUUUUGAUCAGGACUUGGCACUUCAGUGAUACGCUGUUGAGAAACAAGUAUGUUCUACUAAGGAGACGUGACAUUCUAUGUGGAACUGGCAGUGACGUGACAGCAUCUGAUAGCUCUGCUCUGCAGUGUGGUGGCAACAUUCUUCUGCAAUAAAACGAGUGCAGAACAGGACUCGCUGGGUAGUUCGCUGAGGACCC